rnacentral:rRNA from 1 species
GUAGGGAAUCUUCCACAAUGGACGAAAGUCUGAUGGAGCAACGCAGCGUGAGUGAAGAAGGUCUUCGGAUCGUAAAACUCUGUUGUUAGAGAAGAACGUGCAUGAUAGUAACUGAUCAUGUAAUGACGGUAUCUAACCAGAAAGCCACGGCUAACUACGUGCCAGCAGCCGCGGUAAUACGUAGGUGGCAAGCGUUGUCCGGAUUUAUUGGGCGUAAAGGGAACGCAGGCGGUUUUUUAAGUCUGAUGUGAAAGCCUUCGGCUUAACCGAAGAAUAGCAUUGGAAACUGGAAGACUUGAGUGCAGAAGAGGAGGGUGGAAUUCCAUGUGUAGCGGUGAAAUGCGUAGAUAUCGGGAGGAACACCAGUGGCGAAGGCGGCUUCCUGGCACAAUACUGACGCUCAUGUGCGAAAGCUAGGGCAGCGAACGGGAUUAGAAACCCUGGUAGUCC